GAGUUUGAUCCUGGCUCAGAUUGAACGCUGGCGGCAUGCCUUACACAUGCAAGUCGAACGGCAGCAUGAUCUAGCUUGCUAGAUUGAUGGCGAGUGGCGAACGGGUGAGUAAUACAUCGGAACGUGCCCUGUAGUGGGGGAUAACUAGUCGAAAGAUUAGCUAAUACCGCAUACGACCUGAGGGUGAAAGUGGGGGACCGCAAGGCCUCAUGCUAUAGGAGCGGCCGAUGUCUGAUUAGCUAGUUGGUGGGGUAAAGGCCCACCAAGGCGACGAUCAGUAGCUGGUCUGAGAGGACGACCAGCCACACUGGGACUGAGACACGGCCCAGACUCCUACGGGAGGCAGCAGUGGGGAAUUUUGGACAAUGGGCGAAAGCCUGAUCCAGCAAUGCCGCGUGUGUGAAGAAGGCCUCGGUUGUAAG
rnacentral:rRNA from 1 species